rnacentral:rRNA from 1 species
GACAGAGGGGGCAAGCGUUGUCCGGACUGACUGGGCGUAAAGCGCGCGCAGGCGGCGCUGGGCGUCGGUGCUGAAAUCGGGCCGCUUAACGGCCCGCGGCGUGCCGAUACGCCAGUGCUGGAGCGCGGGCGAGGGUGGUGGAAUUGCCGGUGUAGUGGUGAAAUGCGCAGAUAUCAGGAGGAACACCGGUGGCGAAGGCGGGUCUCUGGGCCGAUACUGACGCUGAGGAGCGAAAGCGUGGGGAGCGAACAGG